UUAACACCUGGUCUUCCUGAAUGAGGGACCUCUUGCUUCCGAUAAGAGUUCAACUUUCCAGUUCCGCCUCUGACCUGAUCCUUUAGUUCCAUGGGGAAGAGCAUCUUUGGUUCUUCCGUCACUUCAGGUUUCGAUAUGCAGAGUUGCAUUGCAAUUCCCACUUGAUUAUUGUCUGGAAACAGUGAGAACUACAAAGUGACUCCACCUACAUUGCCUGCCAUAAUGAUUUAAGAGAAGAAGGAGAUUAGUGCAGCAAUUUUGCAGCAAUAAAGGCCACCUUGUGGAAGAUGACUGAGAGCAGCUGAAGACUCCCAAAAAUCAGUUGUAAACCUUUCAUCACAGAAGCUAUAACUGUCUGCUGCUGCUUCUCACCACCUCCACCUCCACCACAAGCAGAAUGAUAAAGGAAACCCUUCAUCCAGAGGAUUUAUUUUGAGAUGAGAGAUUGAAAAUUUUUCAGUUUUAAAGGACGAAUAUGAAUGAAUGAUCUAGGUUACUAGAAAUCAAAUGUUUCAUGUGCUGAAACUACAAAGAUGAGUAAGAUGUGGUUCUCUAUACUUAAGGAAUUUUGUCUUAUUGUGACAUGACAAAUUGAAGCAAUUUUUAAAAUUUUGAACCUAAAUUUAGAGCUAGAUUUUAGAAAUUCUGUAUUUUUCUCUCUCUAAAAUACCUUUAUCAUUACAGUGUGUAAGGGAAUCAAGUCCAAUAGUUACUUGUUCAGCAGUGGCCUGUUGUAUACUAUACAGCUUAAGGAAAGAAGGAUAAGGAUAGUUCUAUUCUUCUUCUGUCACCAACCAGCAAGUGGACCUGGACAGGCCAUAUUGACCUCACUGAGUCUCAGAUUUCUCACAUCAGAUUAAGGGUUUGUUUUGCAAUGAUAUUUGAAAUUGCUUCUGUUGAGUGAACCAGAAGAUCAUUAAUGUAUAUAAUGUACGUAAUGCACUUAGCAAAGUAUAUGAUACAUAUGUGAUGAAGGAAAUACCUACUUAUAUUUCAACUCAAUUAAUAUUCUUCACAAUUAAGUGGUCUUAAGCAAUCCAUCUCACCCUGUAUUUUACAUGAGGUACUAUGGUAUAUUGGACCCAGGACAGCAGAAUGUGGUUUGCUUCUCAGCAUCAUUGCUGCCUAGAUCAACGGGCUUGCACAUAUUAUUUCUAUAAAUCUUAUACUUCCUGUCUAAAAAUGAUGAUAAAAAUACACGUGUUAAUAAAACUAAGUCUAUUUUUCUUCUAAUUUAGUGCUCUGAAGGUAUAAUUUUUAAAAGCUUCCUAGUGCAGACAUGCUUCAUUGUAUUGGCUUUUUUGACCAUAUUUCUGUGUGAUAAAACAAACCAAUAUUGUGUGAAGGCAACCAUUGGUCCCCAAAUGUUUCAUACAAUGCUCAAUACAUGUUGUUCUCUAAACUCUUCCUCCUCUUCCUUUCUUUUCUCCAAUAUGUUAGCCUCUCUAAGAUUUAUGCAACUCUAUACUAAAAACUUGUAUAAUGAAUAUCUACAUAAAUGAAAGGAUAUAAAAAAUGAACUACUCUCUUUUUAUUUCAAAACUCUAAAGUUGUAGCAUACAUUACUCGUUCUUUAUUACCAGAUGAAAAUUUCUUCAAUGCUACCAAUAGGCCAUUUCUAUUCCCGAGGAUGUAUCUACUUUUAAAAGACUAUCACUGAUUAAAUUCUAGGAUAUUCUUCAAUGCUGACUAUAACUAGACCCUGUGAUGUUUGUCUUCUCUCUCCUGCCCAGGCAGCAUUUCUGUAGUUGGGCAUAUGGACAACAGAUAUUUGAAGCUAUAAAAAAUAAUUCUGAAGAGACCAGUUGACAUCCACUUUUCACACGGCACAAAAGGCUCUUAUCUUUUAGUGGAGGUUGCAAUGUCUUAUGUCCAAGGACACUUGAGUAUUCUGUUGUGACUUGACAUCAAAACAAAUUCAUUGAUGUUCUUCUGUGGGACUACUGACUGGCUUUUUGUUUAUUAUUGUUAUAUUUUAUUUGUAUAGAUAUCUUGCCCUGCUCUGUGCUAAAAAUAGUGAUGUUUUUAUUGUUAGUGCCAUACACUUAAUAAAGCCGCAGUUUUCUUGGCAAUUAAUUGUGCUGACAAUCAAUGCAAGGCUGCAGGCUGUGUGUUUAUGUGCUGAGUUGUUGAUUACUGAAGCCCGAAGAAGUCAGACUGUCAAAAUUAAAUACAUUGCUCAGACAUAAAGCCACAUUCUGUUCUUUGUUUGACCAAAUGACAGUUGAUUAUAGGCUGAGUCUAGACCUGGUUUUGCUUGCAAAGUAGAGAAUAUUUUGUCACCUUUAGGCAAUAAAGUUAGAAAUUUACUUAGGACAAAAUAGCAUGGUAGAAUUACUCAUGUCUGCAUUUUAUCAGGAUGUAGUCUACUUUUGAUAAAAUUUCACUUUUUUGAAGUGUUCUAGCAGAUUUUGGAAAGCAUUUUGCUUUCCACUGAACUUUAAGACAAAAUACAGAUAUAUGUGUGAUGUUUUGGGUAGAUAGUUCCAAUUUACUCAGGUAAUUUCUCCGGAUUAAAUAUGGCUGAUGACUUUGUAUUUUUCUCUCCACUUUUUUUCUUCCAGAAUUUACUACACAACAUUCUUCUGUGACAUUUGACUGUACGUCCUGACUCACUGGAUGUUUAAGCUUUGUCCAGUGAUGAUGGGAAUAAGAGAUCAAAGGUCUUUGAUGAUUGAAAUUGGAAAAAAAUUCAUUCAGGAAAUAACUUUGAGCAAUUUUUGUUUUGUAAUCCAAAUCUAUUUACAGGCAAUGUAAACUAUUUUUUUUAACAAUUCUCAAAUUAGCUCGAAGCUCUCGUUGUUACUUUCCUCAAAGCAUCGUUUAGAUUAAGAACUCAGUCUUUGCUUCUUUACACUUCACAAUAAAUGAAUAUGUAAAACUUAAUUCACACUUAAUUGCCACAACUUUGUUUUUCAUACAUGGAUUUGAGUCAAAUGAACCAUUUUGGACAAAUAAGCCCAUAUUUCAAUAAUAGAAAUAAUGCUGAAGUUCUUAUUUUCCUUCCUUUGUUAUAGCUCUUAAAAUAUUUUCAUACACAUCAUUCCAGACUUACAGGAGAUUAUUUACAUGGCCUAGCAAGUUGUUGAGGACAAACUUGGUUCAGAAGAGGCACUUAACAAAUAUUUGGUUGCUGACUGACUUA